UGGGGAAUAUUGCACAAUGGGCGCAAGCCUGAUGCAGCCAUGCCGCGUGUGUGAAGAAGGCCUUCGGGUUGUAAAGCACUUUCAGCGAGGAGGAAGGUGGUGGACUUAAUACGUUCAUCAAUUGACGUUACUCGCAGAAGAAGCACCGGCUAACUCCGUGCCAGCAGCCGCGGUAAUACGGAGGGUGCAAGCGUUAAUCGGAAUUACUGGGCGUAAAGCGCACGCAGGCGGUUUGUUAAGUCAGAUGUGAAAUCCCCGGGCUCAACCUGGGAACUGCAUUUGAAACUGGCAAGCUAGAGUCUCGUAGAGGGGGGUAGAAUUCCAGGUGUAGCGGUGAAAUGCGUAGAGAUCUGGAGGAAUACCGGUGGCGAAGGCGGCCCCCUGGACGAAGACUGACGCUCAGGUGCGAAAAGCGUGGGGAGCAAAACAGGAUUAGAUACCCUGGUAGUCCACGCUGUAAAACGAUGUCGAUUUUGGAGGUUGUGCCCUUGAGGCGUGGCUUCCGGAGCUAACGCGUUAAAUCGACCGCCUGGGGAGUACGGCCGCAAGGUUAAAACUCAAA
rnacentral:rRNA from 1 species